UGCCUUUGCGAAAUCAAGUGAAUAAGAAAUGAUUUGGAUGCCGGUGACCGGAUCAUUUCCGACAAUCAACAUUCGGCUAAGCAUGUAGAAGAUCCGUCAGUUACCUUCUCUGGACCAGAGUUCGAAUCUCUGCGGCUCCACUU
rnacentral:tmRNA from 1 species